GUGUUCACUUUCUCAGCCCAAAUACUGAAAUUGGAACAAUAUAGAGAUUAACAUGCCCCCUGGGCAAGGAUGACAUGCAUAUCCGUGAAGCAUUCCAUUAAAAA